rnacentral:misc_RNA from 1 species
UCCGGCCUCCUGUCAGGGAG